GUGGAUAGUGUCAACCAACAUAUUUACUAUACCAGUCAUGAUAUUGGAUUGCAAGAAGAACAGAAGCUGGUUUCUAUCUACAGCACUGAUUAAGCAAAAGUGUGUGGCUUUUUUUACUUCCUUGAGUGCUGUGUCUCGCUUCUUACUGGCAUACGAUGACUGAUCUAUCUUCCAGGUACUCGGGACUUUACUUCCGAUUACCAAAAUUUGUGCAAACAUCAAGACUAUAUCACUUAGCAUUAUUAAACACAGCCAGAACAGGCACUGGGCAACAACCCAGACACAAAAUGUCAAAUUUGCAACUCUACGAGAUGCAGGUGCAAUAUACGCCCGAAAUAAAAAGAAUAUUGCAAAAAGCAAC